CAGGGGGCACCGGAGAGCAGGGGCGCUUGCUCCACCUGCGCGCGGCUCAAGGGCUCUGGAGGCUUAGCGGCAAGGGGUGAAUAGGAUGAAGAAUCGAGCUAAUAAUAGGAGCCGGGAUGCUGACUGCAAACUCGGCAGGGAGACAACAGUUCUUAUGAUGUCCGCCUGGAGGCUUACACAAGACUUCCUGAAGAAAGGAUUCCAAUAAAACCGAGCAUCAUGGCACAGGUGGUCAUCCCAGUACUCAAGGAGGCUGAGGCAGAAAGAUCACAAGUUUGAGCCCAGCCUGUCUCAAAAACAAAUACACAAAGGAUUCCACCAAAAAUAAGUGUGGAAUUACUGAUAUAUUCUGGACAGAUGAUGUCUACAGAUGAUGCUGUCACUCUGAAGAGUCAGGACCACACAGCACAUUCGUGGUUCAGACUUCCCAGGGGCCCAGUGACUGCCUUGUACCUCAACUACAACCUGACCUGGCACAAGUGCAAUUAGAGCAGUGAUCGCCUGAAUUCAUUGUCAGAUGGGGAGGAGGUUGUGUGAAAUUGGCUGUGACUGUCUCCUGAGUCCCCAGGAAUUAGAGAUAAGAAGGAACCCUGGUGUUUCACAUUGCAAUUAUUUGCUGUUGGUAGCAACUAAUAAAAUAAUGGGCCAGGGCUCAAAUUCUAAAGCCAGGCAGACCCAAUAUGUCACUGAGCCUUUCUUUCCUCAUGAGGAGAUUGGGAACAAUAACCUGGCUUCCUUCAAUGCCUGUAGAGAAUUAAGUGAUUAGACACAUUUAGAACACUCAGGACAGCCCCUGGGACAUGAGAAGUACUAAUGUGUUUAUUGUUGUUGUUAUUAGGAUGUGGUGCUUAAGCAGGGAAACUUGCCUUAUUAAGCUUCAAAAUAUUUCUGGUAUUUGUAAGACACAAAAGAUCUAUUUGGGAAAAGAGUACAUGAGUGGGUACAUAAUGAUUAGAAUUUGUAAAAGAUUGGUAGUUUGUCAUUUCACCAUCAUUGGUGAUAAGGGGGGUAUAGCAGCCAUCAGUGACACUAGAUGACACUGGAGAGAAGAUCUGACAGGGAGAACAUUUUGAGUGGUAAAGAAAAUCUAUACUGUGAUAAAUGAGAUCAUUAUGUAUAUCAAAAGUAUAGCAAUAAAAUUAAUUUAAAAAAGAAAAUCUCAAAGAACAUAGUGGUUAGGGUGGAGUGCCAAUUUGAUUGGCUUUGGGAUCUGCCUGGGGCUUUGGUGGAGAACACUCCUGGGUGGGUCAUCAAAGUGUGACGUUGGGGUCUGUGUCUGGUCCCUCUCCCCUUCCUCUCUGGCACUGUCCCUCUGUUCUGCUUCCUGGGCUCCUUGAACCAGGCAGCUUUGCCCCAGCCCACCCUUCCACCAUGAUGCUUCUACCUUAGAGCCAGCUGACUGUGGGCUGAAUCCCUUUAAAAUGUGAGCCAACAGUGGUUUUGCUGCCUGCUGUGCAAGCACAAGGAUCCGAGUUUGAUCCCCGGUACCCCCCCAAAAUAAAUUAAUUAAAUUAAAUAAAAUGAAAUGUGAGCCAAAUUAAACUUCUCCUCCUUAAGUUGUGGGUGUCCAGUAUGGUGUCCCAACAACCAGAAUAGCUGACAUACAAAGGGCCAGGGGCGUUCAGGAUUUCUCCUAUCUUGUGACUUUUUCUCUGGAAAUGCACUCUGAGACCACCAUAAUUUCUAUCAGUGCAAGUGGUCCUGAGAGGAGUUUCUUUUCAAACCUUUAUCUUAAAUGUAUCUUUUUAAACCUUUGACUUAAAGAUCUGGGAUCAGGUUUAGGCCAAGAAAACGAAAGGUCAGAAAGCUUAUUCAUUUUCCUAGAAGCCUUCUACAUAGAGCUGUUGACAUGUUUGCAGGCAAUUGGUGUUGAAUUAGUGCAUGUAUGAAUGAAGGAAUGGUGGGGAGCCCUUCCAUGGGGAGGGUACAGCACAGCAAGGAUCCAGAAGUUUAAUUCCAGCCAGCCUUCCUAUUGAAGACCCCUCCUUCACAGAUGAAUGAACUGUGAAAUGAAGUGAUCCAGUUAAACACACACAAAGCUUAGUGGAAUCACCACAAGAAUCAGACAUACCACAUUACAUCCCCUCCCCUAAUACCAGCAUGGAAGACCAACAUUCUGAAACAGGCCACUGUAACUGGAGAUUCCUGCAUUUGACCCCAAAACACAAAACAACCCAUGACUCUCAGGAGCAGUAAGUACCCCUUGUGACAGCUCCGUAGCUCUGUAUUUAUUUAUUUCUCACUUCUUGCAAAAACACUAUCAGCAUUCAAUCAAGCCUCAAAGAAAAGGGUCAGGAGGCAAGUGGUUUAAACUGCCUAAACUAAACAGUCCUUUCCCGUGAAAACUAUUUUCUUUCUCUCGAGGCCAAACUGUUGUUCUCAAUACUGUGAGGAAUACACAAACGAGGGUGAGCUGAGGCAUGAGUCAGGGUGAGUUGUUACCAUGCUAAUUUCUCUCCAUGACACGACAUCACAGCACCUCUUUGGAAAUGAAGACAAUGAUGAGAGUGUUCUCGGCACACUGGUAAGAUCCUUGCACAAAACUAUGAAACUCAUAGCCUCUACUGACUAUUUUGAGGCUGGCAUUCUUAUCUUCUGGCCUGAAUGCUCUGAAAUACAAGGUCAAGAGCUACUUUGGGGGGGGAUUUAAGGAAACAGCAAGAUUCACCAUAUGCCUUCAAAAUUGUCAUUCCUAUAAAGGGAACUUUGGUAUAGAAAAUGUAAUGCUAGAAGAUUAUUUUCCCUGUGAGUUCAAAUUGAGACUCAGAAACAUUCAAGAGCCCUUUAUGCAUCAUUUAUACCCUUAUUUUUCCCCUAAGAAGGACUUUUUCCCAAUGGCUGUCUGCAUGCCUUGAAAGAGCCAUUAUCCUGUUUUGUGAUACCACUAUCUAUUGCCAGGCAGAGGUGCUGGUGCCAGACUAAGAAAUACAUGCACAUUCUUCACAUCUCUGGAAGUUGGCUGGCUCUCAGCAAGAGCAUGGGCCUCCUGGUGUCAUUCUCAAGAUUGAGUUUGUAUCUGUCAUGCAUCAAUAACAAUUCUGGCAAUCUUUUAUCAAUUGUUCACUCAGCCCAAGUACUGUUCCAAGUGAUUUGUUGGUGUUAGUCAUCAUACUAAGCCUGCCAGGUAAGUAGUAGUAUCUCUAUUUUAUAGUUGAGAGAGUAGAAGCAUAGAAGGGCAAUCACUUACCCAAAGCCACAUGGCCAGUAAGUGACAGAGCCAGGAAUCUGAGGCAAAUUGUAUGCUCUAGGAGAGCCCAUGCUAGUGCAUAGCCACUUCUAUAUCCGGCUGGCCCAGUCUCUUAUCUGAAGAGGCUAUUUAGCAGAGUCACCAUCUAGGCCACUGUCCUACAGAAAUCUUACUUGCAUCUCCCACUAUUGUUUCACUGAUAGGUCCUGCCUCCCUCAAACCCCUGGAAGUCUGCAGUGGCCUGAGUCAUCCAGCUGGGCAGCCUGUGCUUUGCCUACAAACAAGUUGUGGGGUUCCUUAUGAAAGGAGGAAAUGAAUCAGAAGUUCAGUGCAAUGUCCUGUAGUGAUUUCUUACCAUUCACAAUUCGUUGUCCAAUUUGGGUGAUUCAUAGUACCAGGAUUCUAAGGGCAGCUCCUGCAUGAUCAGGCAGCUCUGUGGCCACAGGCUGUGUGCACAAUUCGAGGCACCCACCUUGCAAAUUCCUAGAGUUGAGAGGGAUUUCAAUGGAAGUGGGUGACAGCAAGAAUUACCACACCCAGAAUAAACUUCAGCCACAUGCCCUGGUGAGGGAUGUACCUGGGAACAGUAAGAGGACGUGUUGCUAUAUUAUUUACAAGAACAAUUUCAGGACCAUUUGUCCAGAGCCUGAAGUCCAAAGUAAGAUUUAAGAGCAAGGAGCCUUAUACUCUUUGAAUAUGUCAUUCAGACCUUGUGCAUAAUACAUUCCUAGUGAAUGAUUUUUGAAUAAAAAAAUUAUUAUUUAAUGCAUUAUGGAGUUUUUCAUGAACAUCUCUUAUUAAAUGAUACCACCAUGGUUGAAGGAAAGGAUCAGAUUAUGUUCAUUUCACACAUUGGUUAUAGAAGUAUUUGUAAAAUCUUGUCAUCUCAUCAUCAUUGUAGACAGCCACUAUGGAUAUGAAAGCUGAAGACCAGUACACAGUGAUCUCUCCUCUACCAUGCCACUUCCCCUCAGAACGCAUGCAGAGGUUGCUCUCCAUGGGAAGAACAGCAGCUCAUGUGGAAGGUGCUUGGCACCCCUGCUACCUCUAACGUGUGUCCAAUUUAGAAGAUUCUUGGCCUCUGAAGACAGGCUAAGGGACAAUGGCCCAUCUUGCAGAUGUCACAUCCUGUCCUUCAGGAUUGCCAGUUCAGUCUGUACCUCACCUUCAGCACUGACAUCAUGAGUGAUCUGGAAUGAGGACAAGGACAAUGCUGGCGGUUCUGCUUACUGCUGGUAGCAUCCUCGUUCCUUCACUUUACUGCACAUAUUAAGCAAGCUUACCCUUGAAUCUGUGAUAAAUUCUGGAAUGAGCAUUGGCUAGAAACAGCUACAGAAUGAUUUCAGAAAAGUCAGGAGAGACAUUUUAAGAAUACUAUUUAGAGAAAUGAAAAUAAACCAGAACUAGGAAGACCCCACGUUUUGAUUUAUGACUGUACUGUGUCCCUUAAUAACUUUGGGCCAUGUACAAACAGCUUAAUCUUCCAGUUUCCUUAUCUUUUAGAUGAAGGUGAGUACAAUCCCCAACACAUAAGAUUGCUGUGAAUUUAGAUAACACAUGGAAAUCCCACAGGGCAGGCUACUCAGCAUAUAAUAUGUGCUUAGCAAACUGUACAUACGUUUCUGUGAAUGUGCACUCAGUGACUACAGAAGCCAUGAACAAGCAUCCUAAUUUUAUACCACACUUCAGGAUCAUAAGAAGGUCACUUACAUAUCUCUUGGUGUCAGAUUUUCUUCUGAGAAAAUGAUGUACUCUUAUGGUUUAGAUCUCAAAUGUCCCCCCAAAGGUUCAUAUAAUCAUAGGUGGGGUUUUGGAAGGUACCUGGAUCACUGGGGACUCUACGGUGAAUUUGCUUUUAUAAGGGGGGGCCUGGUAGGAAGAAGUGGGUCACUGGGGCUGUGAACUAGAAGGGUGUAUGUCUUUUCUCGGCUCCUCCCUUCCCUCUGCUCCCUGGCUGCCAUGACAUGAGCAGCCUUCCUCUGAGGCAGGCCCUUCCAAUAUGCUGUUUCUGUGUUUGAGUUUGCUAACCACUGACUGAAACUUCUGAAACUAUGAGCCAAAAUAAACUUCUCCUUUGAGUUA